GGCCACGGUCAUUCAACAGUAGGAGAGAGAGAGAGAGAGGUUGUGCGUACCCAGUCGCACUCGCACGCACUCAAAUGAAUGGUCAAUAACAAUACUUCCGGGCAGUUUGUUCAUGUUCGCCGUGCGCGAUUUCGAAAUUAUCGCCUCGAUGACCUAGCUAGAUGACCGCAGAAUGGUUAUAAAUAUGGACAUUCGUGCGAGCAACGAGUCAGACAAUCUACCUCACACGCUGGGAUACAAACGCUCUUGACCGUGCGCUUGACCAUUCACCAGCCAGCCGGGCGCUUGACCAUUCUGUUUCAGUGGUCAGCUGCCCGGCCAGUCGGCUUGGUUGGAGUACGGCCGAUGGAGGGGUCACUGUAUGCCCGGUGCUUGGACUUCUUCGCGGAAAAAAAAUGUUAUUGUCUCCUGCAGAUCCGCAAACGAUUCUCAUGCAGUCUUCCAUAUCUCGAUCUUCCAGAAGUGAACAAUCGUAAAUGUCUUUCCGCCAAAUAACAUGGAUUGAUACCGCAUCAACUAGAUUCAAACCGCAGACAUUUCUUCCGUGUAAACAUGACUUUGUUCAGCCAGUGUGGUCGCUUAUGUGGUGAUGUACGUUGUUCAUCUAUGGUACGACUCUGCCAUGGGAAGGAGGAUGACAUCAUUUUGGCCACCACCAAAUUCUUUGUGGACCCUUGUCCCAUGCACCUCCUGAAACCGAUGCGCCUCCACAGUUCUGUAAUUCAGGAUAUCUGAAGUCAAAGCCAGGGGCUUUAGGCUCAUCGUCAACGACAUCCUAACAGGACGAUCUCCCUCGACUGCUGGGCCGGGUUAGCUACACGACAUUGUUCCGUCAUCAGUCCAAUGACGAAAUGUUCGUUGAAGGGCGUGUAGAAGGUCGGUGACGAAGGGUUCUUUGAACAAAAGGAUGACCAAAUUGGUUGACAUUCACGGAGGCAACAUGACCAAGCAACUUCGACAGAAGGUGGGACACCAGCUUCGUAAAUCGUUGCGUCGGCCAUCGCCUCACUACCAAGAUGUCGCCAUGCCCCGAUGUCAUCCUCCGUAGCAUCGCCGAAGUGGUCUAGAAUAUCACACCACGUGUGGUGAUAUUCGUCGAGCCAUGAAUUCCUCGUCAGCUGUGUAUGCGCUCUGCCAAAGGUGCUUGUACGCCAGGGUACUGCUACAUAAGGCAAGCAUCCCGAAACCUCAGUCAGCUUAUACACCAUCCCCAAGUCCGUUCCUGGAGGAGCUCAUACCCGCUUCGGGAAAAUGCUGCUGUGUCGUGCGAUUUUUUUUUCAGGUGAGGCCCAGUCAUGCGGUUAUUUUAAGGCGUCAGGAAGAACAGAUGCCUUUUCUACUUUUGCGGUUCAAUGAUAUUUGGCGGGAAAGGAUAAGGAGAUGUAACACUUCGGAGGUCAGCUGCGGUAACGACGUGAGUUUUACAGUGCUUUCUAUCUAGACUGAUUAGCUACGACCCUUUCACCCUGUGGAUUGGAUCACCAUCGGAAGGUCUUCUGCCUUGAAAGAUGUCGGAUCAGAUUCCACUGGAAGAAGAAGGUUGUCGAAGUUUAAUGCUGUCUGGAGAGAAGUCUGUUGUCCGCGUUGGAGUCCACCUUUGUAGUUUAGUUGUUUUCCUCUGUCCUCUAUAUUUUUAUCUCUCUCUCUCUCUCUCGCUCUCCCUCUCUGUAUAUCUCCAUCACACUCUCUACCCCAUCACACUGUCUUGACUCUUUAGUAAUCACAUUAUACACUCCCUUCUCUGCACGUAGUUUAUUAGAAUAUUUCUGACAAUUUAUCUUUAUAACCAAUUAAAAAAGCAGCUUUGUAAUUAAUGAUUAAACUAUAAGCUAUUAAAUAAUGGACUUACAUCUAUUGUGACGUUGUGUUUCCUCUAUAAGAGGUUUGUAUUCGCAGUUUUAGUAAAAUUGUUAAGUGAUAUUUGUAUUUCCUUUUAAAAUCUUUUCUAUAAACUGUUUCUAAAACGUGCAUGGAUGUCAUGCCUCCCAGUCCCAGCUAUGGUCACAGUUACGUGAAAAGUAUUGCCAAAACUAUUUAACUGAUGUUGUUUUCUUUGUAAAGGAAUCAUUGUUAAAUAUUUUACUAUAGAAAUUUCUUUGAAGUAGUUGUUAGUGUUGACAUGGUUUUUGAGACAGGCGGUUGCUCCUGUGUCAGCUUCUCGACCCCAUCAACCACUAGUAUUAUGUUUGAGUUCAUAUUUUGCAUGAAAACCUAAAUAUUGAUCUUUGUAAAUUCGCAUUAACUCCUAAGUAAGGUACCGUAAUCAUCCAGUGCAGAUAGAACUGUGCACAGCAUCCACCUUUUUUAUAGUUUCUUUUUUACCUUCGAAGUGCUCGUAUCUCUUGCUCGCUUUUCUUUUCUUUCUUUUCCUUCUUUCUUACAGGGUUUUCGUAGAUGAUUUUAUCUAUGAAUACCUCGCAGCCAAUUGAAAUGCAAAAGGACAUCUCAGGUAUACAUUCUUAAUGUAGAAACGGCUCUGACAAGUCCAAAUAUGGCGCGACAGUAUCUUUCGAUGUCUGUGUUUUGGGCAAGUUUCCCCUUGUGCGCGAUGUAUGCAAGUGCUUAAUUUUAAUAUACUAAUUCGCUUUUCUCAUAAUGCUAGCUUCACAAAUAUGUGUAUCAUUAUAAUGGCUUAUUUCAAAAUUCAUUUUCUCAUAUCAGUGUUGGUCGAGGUAGGGGCAUCUAUUUGUAAUAACACACAUAGCAUUUUGGUAUAGCGCAUGCGCAAGCUGACGUCAGUAGCUAAUUAGAACUAGGUUAAAGUAGUAGUAUAGGUCUGGAAACUUUGUUUUCAUUCAUUGACGGUGUUUGUUCAGAAAUGCAUCACCAUUAAUGUUUAUUGAAUGAAAGCAUAGUUUCAGAAGACCUAGUAUUUUUUGCAAUUCUUUGUAAACUAUACAGGUAGAGUAGAGUUAGAUCGUAGGAUAUAGCACCGAAACACUGGAUCUGAAAUAUGAAUGUAAAGUUAUGUAUUGUAUGUAAUGCUGAAUCAGAGUAACGUUUAUAUAUUUGUACUGAAUAUUGUUAGGAGGUGUAGGAAGGGAGUUAUGUACGCCUUAUGACGGUUAGAAGAAGCCGGAAUGUAAAGCCACACGAAAUUGCUGCAAAAAACUGUCGUAGAUUUAGAAAUGAACUUUUUUAUGUAUAUUGAUAUUUGAGUGUGUUGUAGUGUACGAGAAAUGACGCGUCGGUUGUUUUGCCUGCGUGCGCGUCAGUGAGUAUUAAAGAAUUAGGGUGAGGUGUAUGAGAGUGUGCGUGCGUUGUGUGUUGAUAUUUCCGUUAGACAUAGCGUGUUCAAAAAAACGGAUGACGAAUUCAGAUAUGAUAGCCCGUAUUGUACAUAAAUGUAGGAUAAGACAGUCUUUUGUCUAAAUGAUUUUGGUCCUAUAUUAUAUACUAGUAUCGAUGCUGAAAUAGUCGUGGUUUAUUUGGAUAUGUUUAUACGUAUGCUGAAAUGUCUUAUGUAAAAAUCUGCUUCUUAAAGAAGCUUGUUUUAUUAAUCUAAAAACCGUUUUUAACUUUCUUUUUAGAAGCGGAUUUUAUUUUGCAAAACUGUUGACAAUGGUGCUGAUUUGAAAUAUUUUUAGUAGAUUUUCAUCAUUUUUUCCCGUUUCUCUACCUGCUAUUAGUGCGCGUAUCAGGCUGGAGUUGAGACAACUUCCUACGCCGCAUUACCGGUGACGUCAUCAUUUACCAUGGCAACCCUGAUAAACUUUUAGCCAAUCACAGGGACUAGUCAUUGCUGUAGAAACACAUUUUCUUUUCUUUGCACUUUCACUGUGUCUUUUGUUCAUUUUAGAAACAUUCUAGAUCUCAUUUGUAAUAUAAAUAUAUCCAUAAUAGUUUAUGUUCGCAAUUUCCACUGAAAUAUUUUUUUAAAGAAACGUUAAUUGUCGAUUAUUUAUAUUAUUUUUAUUAUUUUAUUUUGAGGUAAGUCCGUCAUUAUACCCUGCUAUUUUCAUGUAACGGGGGGGGGGGGGUUGACCACUGUCCACAUAUUUGAUUAAUGAAAAUAAGACGAUUCGUUCAAUAACAUAAUCGGUAAAUCAACAGAUCUAGGUCCGUGGAAUAGGAGGUUUAAUACCAUAACAUGAUAUGCUGCUUUGAUAUAGAAAUGCUGUUGUACCUACUUAGUUUGCUGCGAAGGGUUUAGAAUUGGAUGAUUUGAAAAAUGACUGACAUUGUAUUAGACUCUUGUUAGUAAUCAUUGAAACUGAAUGUGAUAUCGUAUGAUAGAUUAUGCUGCAUUAGUUGUUAAGAUGACAAAUUAUUGUUUUGCAUAAAUUGUACGGUAUGUUAGCUGCAGAAUGAAUGCUCGGAAAAUUUUUGUGAUAUCCAACAUUGAACAACAAAUCAGAUUAUCGUUUUCGAAAGUCAGAUUGCUUCGGGCACGAAUGUGAAUUGUCCCAUGUGAUUAGGCCAUGAGAUACCUAAGUUCCAAAUUUAACGGUAUUUACAAAAAAUUCUGAACGGGGCUUGGUGGGUGUAAUGAUCUAAGUAACAUAAAUUAAGUAUGGCUCUAACCAAAGUAUAGUUCAGUCAUACCACGAAUAAUAUGCUGCUAUGGAGACCGUUUCAGAUGUAACUUUUGGUGUAGACGGUCCCCUAUACACCACGUUAUUGCUGCAUGAAGGAAUGAUAUUUUAUAUGUUACAUCCUUCAUAAAUGUAUAAUGUCACAUAUGAGUUCCUUUCGGUUAAGUGCAGUUCCUAAACUCCAAAGUUUUUUUAAAAACAGUUGUGAUUUAAUUUAAGCCUCACAAAAGCAUGCUGCAUAAAUUACAAAUAUUUGGAUGAUAUGAAUAUCAUGGUUACCUGUCUUAGCUUUAAGGAAAACGCGUCCGAUUGCCAAAUGAAAUUAUGAAGAAAGCCAUCCUCAGAAAUUUAUUUUUUCUUGAUGGCUCUUAAAUGUUAUUGUUGGGUUGAAACUUAUGUUUCAAAGGCAAUUAUCUCGCCUAACCAGUUUUCAUCAAAAGUAGAUUAACUCUUUGUAGGGCAAGCUAUUUAUCAAACUUAUUAUUUUCCAAAAUGAUUAUGCUGAUGAUUAUGCUCCAUACACAAUGCUGCGCAUGCUCUUUAUUACAUUCUAUAUUUUUAUCGAGUCCUAUAUAAUGUAAACGAGCUUCAUUAAUAUGCUACUUUAUAUGCUUGCAUUAAUUUAAAUUUAAACUAGCUAAUAAGUAUUUAACAUGAAGGUGGAGAGAUACAAGUUCUACGUACUGCUGCAAACUGUGUCUACGCGCUGAAUACGCAAAAUGACCAGUUAUACACCACAGAUCUGCUGCAAUGUAACUUAAAGUAGUUUGCUGAGAGGCCGUUGUCAUAUCGACUUCAAGCAAAUAGAUAUUAAACGCGAUGGACAUUCGUAUACGUGUAUGGUAGCUUUAAAUCUACUAAUUGCUGCAACAAAAUAUUGUCUAAAUUGGUUGUGUCCGACACGCUAUAUAGACAAAGAUUACACCACAUCAGUGCUGCGUAAAACCGUAGAUAUAGAUAACAUGAAAAUCGUUAAAGCGGAUCGCAGACCUACUAAAAAAUUGUACAUAUUCGUUCCUGAUCAUGAACAAUUAAUAUUGUUUGUUUUCCGGUUUGUAAACCGAGAUUCUUCAUUUUGAUAGGGCUGAAAUUUGAGGAAAAAGCACCGUUUCACCCAUAAGGCGAAAUCCUCCCUUUCUCCAGCGAAUGUAUGCAUGCACUCUUUGUAUUUUAUAACUUUUAUUGCCAUAUUUCACCUAGUACCAUUAUGUUGAAGUUGUCAUCUUUUAGAUAAUGCCUAUAUAUAUUUUGUGCCAUUGUAAAGUCCAAUUUGAUAAUGUAUAUAAUGUUGUUUGCAUAUAAUACACUCAUAUAUUUGUGUGACUUGUGAACAAAUGUGAACGUCAAAAGUGACUUUACUGUACAAAAUGGAAUUCACUAUCCUAUCUAAUUCAGUUGUACUGAAACGAACUUGAAAACAAAUUAUUUCGUGUUAUGAACAAUGAACAUACAUUCUGCAAAUAUUCUUCCGAAAGUGUGGAUUUUCUACAAAUCUUUCUUCUUAAAUGUUACGAUUAUUUCCCGAGUAUUGAAAUACUAAGUAUUUCAAUACCUCAUCUCGUAAGUGUCAAAUCUGCAAAUGAUUUAUCCAUUGUCUUAGGGAUAAUCUUGCAUUUUAUUCGUAAAUGUGGGGUUGUUGUUUUUUCUCAGAAAUUGACAAUUCUAUAAUACGUAGGAAAUAAUGAACGAGGAUGGGAUUUAAGUGUGGGUGUGUAUGCGUAAGCUCGUCCCCGUUGUUGUGUUUUUAUACAUAUAUCAUCCAGGGUACUUUUAUAUUACCCCCCCCCCCCCCCACAGAAAAAAAAACCGUCUCCAAAUUGGCUAAUACACAUGUUUCUCUCAAAUGAAAAUUGCAUUUAGAUGUGUGACUCACUAUUAUUAUUAUGUAUACAUUAGCUUUGGUAUGCAACAAUUAUUAUUGUAUUCAGGGUAAUUUUCUAAGCCAACUAAAAGUAUAUGUUUCUUAAUGUGAACUAUCAUCAUGUAAGUGCUGUAGAAACGUGAGAAAAAAUCGUCUUUUUAAGACAAAUAUUGUUGAUAAAAGGAAAAUGUGAAAUGUGCCAUUGAAAGUGAACGUAGAAUUAGCGUUAUCACACUUUUUUUGUUUCAUGCUGGUGUUCUAUAUCCUUUAUCUCUUUAUAAUUUUUGUUAUAGUUGAUGUAAUAGAAAAACUACCAAUUAGCAUGUGUCGUGAUGUCUGAUACAAUUUUCCCCAUCACUUGAGGUUUUGCGUCCACGAUUUGGGGGUUUCUCAGGAUGUUUAAAUUGAGAGAAGAUUAUUUUUGGUUUUUAUCUCUUUUUGUAUAUCUUAUUUUAGAAUUAAUAUUCAUCUUGUAGAUUGGCGAUAUAGGAAUAGGUAUAGUUGUGAUAUAGUCAUGGUAGUGAUAGUGUAUGUUUAGUGUAUAUUUAGUUUAGUGUAUUAUUUACAUUUUGUUUUAUUCUCGUGUGAAAUAAUGGUACAAGUUUCAAAUUUUAUACGAAAUUUGCAUCUUCGUAUUAUGAUUAUUCACAAACUGCUCCGUCGAUAUAUCUGUAAUUUUCUUUCAGAAAUGUAUUUCAUUUUCGGGUGAUGCAUAUUGGGAAUGCUGGGCAUUUUCUCAUGGUAUUAUUGUAUAAUUUGUCUAUGCUGUUACCAUGGUUACUGUAUAAAAAAAAACUGCGGAUAUCCCAAAAUUUAAGCCUAUUGGUAUUUGAGUAGGAAAUAGUCGCCAAGGCUGUGGUUGCAAGUCUGUCUUGAACUGAACUUCUGGCCAAAUGCAAAAUUGUUUUUUUACAAAUCCGUAUAACGAUUUAUCACGAUUUGUUAUUGUAUAUAAAAUUGAGCUCUUGUCACAAUAUUGCCGUGAUGAGAAUUCUGCGUGUCCGAGCACUUGAUUUGCUCAUUGCUCUCAGAAUUAAUGAAUUACAUUGAUUUUAUGAAUAUUGGUGUUUAUACAAUUAUCCCCCUUUCAUAAAGUAACAAUGUUGAAAAUGCCAAAUUGGAAAGGGGAAACUUUUAUUGCACCGACUGUAAUUAGCAUCUGUAAAUUCUUUAUUUUGAUGUAAAUAAAAUGAUUUGAAAGCUUAA